UGUGAAAUUCGUUGUGCCUAUUGCUGUUGACGUUAAUUAUAUAUUUUUCUUAUUUCUAAUUUAGAAAAAUGGAAUUGCAUUUAUUGAAACUUACGAGAGUGGAUCCAUUCACUUCGCAACUCAACGGUUGAACACUUAAAGUCACCAGACCUCCUUUUCCUGUGGUGGUAUUCACAGCAAUGUCGUGCGGUAUUUUAACUUGCUUUAACAAUUGUGAGGAAUUCAGAUCGAAGGCAAGGAGUUUCGGAGGGCAUACGGGUUGAAAAUUAUUGAUGAGACCUGAGUCCAAGACCCACAAUCUGUCACAUAUAUCGAUCUAAAUAUCGUACGUAAAUUGAACAUUUUUUUACUUGAAAAAAGAACAUUAAUUUUGAUUUUGUAACUAUAGAAAAAGUUUCUAUUAUAAUUACCUCAAUCUUGUAAACACUCAUGAUACCAGUGCAAUUUUCAUUUUCCGCCCACGUCCAAUCAGGAUACGGUGCCAGAAGAGGUCCACCGUUGCUAGUUUUGUUAGUUAUCACGUUCAAAGAAGAAGGCACGCCAUUAAACUUCAUUAUGAUGA